rnacentral:rRNA from 1 species
GAUGAACGCUGGCGGCGUGCUUAACACAUGCAAGUCGAACGGUGAACACGGAGCUUGCUCUGUGGGAUCAGUGGCGAACGGGUGAGUAACACGUGAGCAGCCUGCCCCUGACUCUGUGAUAAGCGCUGGAAACGGCGUCUAAUACUGGAUAUGUGACGUGACCGCAUGGUCUGCGUCUGGAAAGAAUUUCGGUUGAGGAU